rnacentral:rRNA from 1 species
GGCGAACGCUGGCGGCGUGCUUAACACAUGCAAGUCGAACGGAAAGGCCUGCUUUCCCUUGUGGAUUGCGGGUACUCGAGUGUCGAACGGGUGAGUAACACGUGAGUGAUCUGCCCCCAACUUGGGUAUAAGCCUGGGAAACUGGGUCUAAUUCCCGAUAGGACUGCAGGGUGGUGCCUGUGGUGGAAAACGAUUUUGUAGUGGUUGGGGAUGAGCUCGCGGCCUAUCAGCUUGUUGGUGGGGUAAUGGCCUACCAAGGCGGGGACGGGUAGCCGGCCUGAGAGUGUGGACGGCGACAGUGUGACUGAGAACCUGCCCAGAGACCUACGGGAGGCAGCAGUGGGGAAUAUAGCACGAUGGGCGGAAGCCUGAUGCAGCGACGCCGCGUGGAGGAUGACGGCCUUCGGGUUGUAAACUCCUGUCGACCGAGAGGAAGCCACCUGGUUGGAAGGGUGGUGACGGUAGUGGGAGAAGAAGCACCGGCUAACUACGUG